AGUGAACGCUGGCGGUAGGCCUAAUACAUGCAAGUCGAACGGCAGCACAGUAAGAGCUUGCCCUUACGGGUGGCGAGUGGCGGACGGGUGAGAAAUACAUCGGAAUCUACUUUUUCGUCGGGGACAACGUAGGGAAACUUACGCUAAUACCGCAUACGACCUACGGGUGAAAGCAGUGGAUCUUCGGACCUUGCGCGAUUGAAUGAGCCGAUGUCGGAUUAGCUAGUUGGCGGGGUAAAGGCCCACCAAGGCGACGAUCCGUAGCUGGUCUGAGAGGAUGAUCAGCCACACUGGAACUGAGACACGGUCCAGACUCCUACGGGAGGCAGCAGUGGGGAAUAUUGGACAAUGGGCGCAAGCCUGAUCCAGCCAUACCGCGUGAGUGAAGAAGGCCUUCGGGUUGUAAAGCCCUUUUGUUGGGAAAGAAAAGCAGCAUGUUAAUACCCCGCUGUUCUGACGGUACCCAAAGAAUAAGCACCGGCUAACUUCGUG
rnacentral:rRNA from 1 species